GGGAGAACAGGCGCUGCCGUAAAGCUUAGUGUAAAAGCGCACAAAAUUUAUGCGGCGGAUUAGAGGCGGCUGGCUCGACCGCGGCUCACAAAUGACGGCUCACUUGGCCGCGAUGAAAUGAGGGCUAAAACGUGAGACUGGGAUUUUUUUUCAUAAUUGUUUUCCUUCACCCACGGACAAAUGGAUCAAGCAGAGCAGCUGGAGGAGAUCUCUGCUUGGUGUAAAGAGGAAGGUCUUCCUCCUGACUCCUCAAAGGAAGCUCAGCUGUGUUUGCUAUGGCGUGCCCUUCAGCACACGAUGAGCCGCCUCAGCAAAGUGACCAGAGACCUGGAAACCCACCGCUCUCAGCACUUAGCAGAAAUGGCGGAGGUACGCAAGUCGCUGGAGCAGAUCAGAUUCUUCACGGAGCACAAAAAUGUUUUGGCUCAGGAGAUACAAGAAGAGAAUGAUCACCUUAAGGAGCAGCUGCGGCACCUAAUAUCACUUCAAGAUGCCCAGAUUAGCGAGGUGGCUAAAAUGCUGUACCAACAGGGUCUCACAGAGUUGAUUCACAGCAGCCCCAGUGAGCAGGUGGCAUACCUCCUGGUGGAGAGGGCUUCCCUGCUUGAGACAAGUGAGCUUACAGACAAGGUGAAGGGAUAUGGAAACACAGCCAAUCAUAUGGGGACAGGAGCACAAGUGAAGAGGACCGGCGUAUCCCAGGCUGCCCACAAGGGGGCACCACGUCAUGGGCAGAGCGCAUGGAAAAAACUCUUUGGACUCAAGUCUUCACAGAACAAACAUACUUUUAUUCCUUGUUAUUUAGCUCUGUUCUGAGCACAGGUUAGGGAAUUUGCAUGGCAGAAGAAUUUCAAGAUACUACCCGACUGAUGCAUCUUGACACACUGCACUUCUCAAGGCUGAGGCCAGAUUUUUGGCUGGCCAGGAAAGCAGUUUGGGGAGAGAAUGCUCCCGGCUGGAGCGGGACCUGGAGGAGGGCUCCCGUCGGCUGGCAAUGGCGCACAAUGAGAUCCGGCGUUUGACUGAUGAGCUGGAGUCUGCUCAUUUGACCCAGAGAGCGUAUGAGCCUGAGCUGCAAUCAGCACAGCAGGAGGUGGAGCAGCUCCGGCAGGAGGUAGAAAAGCUGAAGAAAUAUGGUCGUGUCGCUGCAAGAAGAAGCAGAGCAGCUGAAGGCAGCCUUACAGGAGGAGCUCCUAACUAAACAGGCUCCAGCCAAACAAGUAACAGAGAUGACUGAAGUUGUGUCUCUAAAGAAGAAGGCAGAGCGACUGGAGUCAGCCCUACAAGAGCAGCAGCAGCAACUUCUCACUGUGCAAGUUCAGGCCAACCAUGCCAACGAAUUAGCCAAACAGGUUGACUGUGCCCAAACCAGCGUGGAUAACCUUGUGCUAAAUAUCAACAGCAGUGAAGACAUCCCGCAGGAUCAAAAGCUGCUGAAACAAAAAAAGGCAGAUCCCCAUCUUUUUGUAAACACUCAGUCGCAUGACUCCUUUAUGACAGCGGAUGAAGAGCCACAGACGAUAAAGUACGAAGAAAACGCACCACAAAAGGAGUGUAUUAACUGUCAACAAGCAAUGAAAACUCUGCUGUCCUCCCAAGAGGAGUGUGAGGCACUUAAAAAGGAGAUCUGCGAAACCCUGAAAUGCAUUGAUGAGGAGCGAAGCAAAUUCCACAAGAUGAAGCAAAAACACAAGGCCAAACUUUGCAGAGCCAAACAGAAAUUUGAAGAUGAAACCACAUGGCGUGAUGAGAAGAUAAAAAGUCUAGAGAGAGAAUUGUCCUUGUGCUGUCAUUCAGUAGCAAAGGAGAAGGAGCUUGUCAUAAGCAUAACUGUGGAAAAUGAGAAACUACUCUCUGAGAGGAGGAAGCUACUGCAACAGCUAAACGAGGAGGAGCACAAGAAGAAGGAUAGUUGUCUAAAAGCUUCUUUAUCCAAAUGCAGGGUGGAACUUUUAGAGCUGGAAAACAAGAAACUCGGAAACCAAAUAUCACAAAUGUCCAACCAGCUCGCUGUCCUGGAGUUCAGCCUGCAGAAGACACAGCUGCUUCACUUUGCUGAGAAACUUAAGAAAAUGCCAGAUGACCAGCAAGUUUUCAAGUCUCUUCCUCAGCAGUCUUCAAGUGUGAUUUCACCCGAGCUGUCUGAAGCUCAGGGCUUGUUGGAUGGUACACUUAGAGGUCACUCCAAGCAGACAGAUGGGACUUGUUACAGUCAUGCGUCUGAGAUUUUGUGUCAGUCAGCAGAUAUGAGCUACCUGAACCUGACCUCCACACAAAAAAACCACUUGGACCGCUCACCUCCCCUGGCUGCCCUCAGCAGCCUUGAAAAUCUGCCUUCCUGAAGUUUUCUGUUUUGAGUGUGAUCAUGAACUAUUUUAUUUGUAUGUUAAAUUAAUAAAUAAGAUACAAAAUGGGUUUGAAUUUCAUUAAAUCAAAUUAAACCAGCC
ensembl:lncRNA